rnacentral:sRNA from 1 species
AAGUGAAUAUGGGUAUCUAUUGAACCUGCAGUUAGAAUAUGCCCCUCAGCUGCAAUUGCCUCGGUUCCCGGGCCAAUAAUGAUAUUGACAUCCGGUUGGGUAUCAGGGUUUCCAGCCUUGCCUAUGGCGUAGAUCCGUCCAUCUUUUAGCCCGAUAUCUGCCUUGUAAAUCCCCGCGACAUCAACGACCAACGCGUUAGUGAUCACUGUAUCAACCGCGCCAUCUGCACGGGUUGCCUGCGACUGGCCCAUGCCAUCACG